GACGUAGGAGGCGAGCGUUGUCCGGAUUCAUUGGGCGUAAAGAGCGCGCAGGCGGCUUGGUAAGUCGGAUGUGAAAUCCCGAGGCUCAACCUCGGGUCUGCGUCCGAUACUGCCCGGCUAGAGGUAGGUAGGGGAGAUCGGAAUUCCUGGUGUAGCGGUGAAAUGCGCAGAUAUCAGGAGGAACACCGGUGGCGAAGGCGGAUCUCUGGGCCAUUACUGACGCUGAGGAGCGAAAGCGUGGGGAGCGAACAGG
rnacentral:rRNA from 1 species